GAUCCCAGGGACGCCCCCACAGGUAGACGAAGAGGGUCCAGAGAAAGGUGGGGAUUCCCUAACCCCUUCUUUCUUGGCACAGACAGGCAGAGAACACCUCUUUUCUCACCCCUGGGCAGCCCCAGGAAGUCAAUCCUUCCACUAUUCCUGCUCCGUGCCUCUCUUCCCUCUGCCCAGAUUCCUGGGAGACUCAAAACCCUGUUCAACUCUCUCUGGGCUAGCUGCUCCCCUCCCCAAGAGGAUUUCUCUCCAGAGCUGGUAUCAUCGCUUAAUGAUGUUCCACCAACAAGGGGAAGAUUCAGCCAUGUCUUCCUAGGAUCCAGCAUCCAAACCUGGACCAAAGUCCUCGGAUCCUCAGCAAUGGGGGUGCAUCUGGUGAUGGUGUUCAUGCUAAAUUUGUGCCAAGAGACACCUGUACUUGUGGGAGAAUUAAUAUUUCACUUCUGUUUAGGUUUCUUUUCUGGGAGCUGCUAUCACUGAAUACAUAAAGAAAUUGAGCCUAUAUGAUUUCAAUCUUCACCUUCUGAUGCUGAUGAAACAGGAUUCUAUGCAGUUUUCCACAGGGAGAAGCAGCAGGCUGAAGUGGCUCUUUAGGGAGACACAUACCUCCACAGGAAGAGCAGUCUAGAUUGUUUUAGCACAUUCCACUUAAGGAUUGCAGUGUGACAGCAGACCCAAUUGAGUCUGGAAGUAGCUCUGGGAUUUGCUGCAUGUUGCUGGCCCUGAGUUUUGGAGAGAAGCCCUGAUAAGACUAAGAGGGAUGCUGAUAACCUGGAGGGACAUUGAUGACAGAAAAUCCUCUCCAGUCAAGUAAUUGCAUCCAUUUCAUCUUCCCAGCCCUCCUCUAGAUGGGAGGUGGAGGUGUGUGUACCAAUCUCUUAAUUCAGAAAUGAGACAAGAGGAGGAAAAAGGAGUUCCGGAGGACAGUGGGGACCCCAGCCAGAGCCUGGGGACUUGGCUGCCUUGGAACCAGAACCUGGCCCCUCAGAGGAGUUGCAGAAUUUCGAUAGAGGAGUGGCAGGAGGUGUACUGGCUGAAGAGGAGGCCCAAGGAACUCCUUUUCAUACAUCAAAACUGAGCUUAUCACCUCUACCCUGAAGUCAUCCUGGACAUCACUGGUCCCAGUUAAUCACUCACUUAUCUUUGCCAUCCUUGACCUGGGAAGAGAACGUUGCCCUCAUUGGUCUGGAAUCAGCAGGUACCUCAUGGCUGGAGGUGUAUUUUCAGGUGGG
rnacentral:lncRNA from 1 species